AUUGAAUAUGGGAACACGUGAUCCAAUCACAUACAGCUGUGUCCUGCUCAGUGCAAAGCAGAUCACAGACUGAGCCUGGCAGAGGACAGCACACAGGUCACCUCCAGAGAACGGAAUUCAAUUGUCUCCUAGAAGCUGUCAUCAGAUGUAACAAGACUUCCCUCGUUCUAUUGUCUUCGUAAUGUACUGGAAAAGUUUGUGUCCCCAGCCAAUAACCAACAUUGAUGUAACACUGCAAAGAACAGAAGUAUUUUCCCAGGAAGCCGCUUAAAAUAAAAAAAAAUAGCGGCUGGACAAAGCGUUUUAGAAAUGGAUCCGUUUUGUCCCCUCCCAGCUCGGGAUCGCGCAUGUCAGGGCUGGAAAUUACCGCCACCGUACAGCGAUCCUCCACACCGCUGCAUGCUUCUUCAUGAGCAGAUCAGUAUGUGACCUGCGAUUCUGGGGACAGGAUGGACAAUCAUAACACAGACCCAAUUGUAUGUAACCAGAACAGUAGACAAUGAGAUGAAGCAAGAGGAUAAAGAUCUGUUCCCAUCCCCCGAUCCUUCCUAUCGCAGAGGGCAAUGAGGCGGCCGCUACACUAACCUACCGUGUACACACACCAUCCUAUUCACUCUAAUAGUACAAUGUGCAGAAGUACUAUCUAUGCCUUGUCAUGGUUUCAUCUAUUUGUAGAUCAAAUGCAAUAUUCAGAGCGGUUUAUUAUCCUCAAUAAACACACAGUAUUCAUUCUGGUGACAGGAUUAUUCAUCGAUCACACAGCGGGGUACAAUAAAUGCAGACAUGGUUUUAAAUCUGUGUUGUCAAUUUCUCAGCGAUUGUUAGUCUAGAGCUGCAUGGAGCCCGACAUUUCCACACUGCAGUGAUCAUUUAAAGCUGAACUCCAGGCAAGCUGAUCAAACUCAAGUACUGCCAAAGGAAUUAUAUUUCUGUCCAUCCAGUCCUGAGAUUUACACAGCACAGUCCUGGCUGGCAGGGCGGAAAGCCAGCAUUUUUUUCCUGCUGCAGUUAAUACUUACAGGUCUCCUCCCCCAGCGCAGGAUUAAACAACGAAGGAGAAGUAGCAGGCUGAUCAUUUCAUUCUCUGCUCUCUCCUAUCAGCACGUCUUUUGUGAGAAAAUGAGCAAGCAGACCAACGGAUUGGCUCCUUGUAUGGCUUCACCCUCUGUCUGAGCUCUGCUGUACUGAGGCAGAUACCAAGCCAAUAAAAAAGGUACAUACACUUGUUUGCAUUAAUUAUA